AUUCUAAUAGCUUAUUAAGAGUUUGAUAUUGAAGAUAUCAAGGAGAUAUAUUAUCUUAGAGUA
rnacentral:tRNA from 1 species